CUAGGCUAUUACUGACACUGAGGCACGAAAGCGUGGGGAGCGAACAGGAUUAGAUACCCUGGUAGUCCACGCCGUAUACGAUGCUCACUCGCUGUUGGCGAUAUAUUGUCAGCAGUUAAGCUAAAGCAUUAAGUGAGCCACCUGGGAAGUACGUCCGCAAGGAUGAAACUCAAAGGAAUUGACGGGGGCCCGCACAACCGGUGGAACAUGUGGUUCAAUUCGAUGAUACGCGAGGAACCUUACCUGGGCUUAAAUGUAGUUUGACUUCCGCCGAAAGGCGGUUUUCCUUCGGGACAAAUUACAAGGUGCUGCACGGCUGUCGUCAGCUCGUGCCGUGAGGUAUCGGGUUAAGUCCCUUAACGAGCGCAACCCCUAUUGUUAGUUACCAACAGGUUAAGCUGGGGACUCUAGCAAAACUGCCAGCGUAAGCUGGAGGAAGGUGGGGAUGACGUCAAGUCAGCAUGGCCCUUAUGUCCAGGGCUACACACGUGUUACAAUGGCCGAUACAAAGGGCAGCCACCACGCGAGUGGGAGCUAAUCCUUAAAAUCGGUCUCAGUUCGGAUCGAAGUCUGCAAUUCGACUUCGUGAAGGUGGAAUCGGUAGUAAUCGCGCAUCAGCAAUGGCGCGGUGAUACGUUCCCGGGCCUUGUACACACUGCCCGUCAAGCCAUGGAAAUUGGUGUUGCCUGAAGUCCGUAACCAUCCAGGAGCG
rnacentral:rRNA from 1 species